UACGUAGGGGGCAAGCGUUGUCCGGAUUCAUUGGGCGUAAAGAGCGUGUAGGCGGCCAGGUAGGUCGGUUGUGAAAACUGGAGGCUCAACCUUCAGAGGUCGACCGAAACCAUCUGGCUAGAGUCCGGGAGAGGAGAGUGGAAUUCCUGGUGUAGCGGUGAAAUUCGUAGAUAUUAGGAAGAACACCGGUGGCGAAGGCGGCCCACUGGCUCGACACUGACGCUGAGGUGCGAAAGCGUGGGGAGCAAACAGG
rnacentral:rRNA from 1 species